GCUCAGGACGAACGCUGGCGGCGUGCCUAACACAUGCAAGUCGAACGAAGCAAUUAAAGGAAGUUUUCGGAUGGAAUUUGAUUGACUGAGUGGCGGACGGGUGAGUAACGCGUGGAUAACCUGCCUCACACUGGGGGAUAACAGUUAGAAAUGACUGCUAAUACCGCAUAAGCGCACAGUACCGCAUGGUACGGUGUGAAAAACUCCGGUGGUGUGAGAUGGAUCCGCGUCUGAUUAGCCAGUUGGCGGGGUAACGGCCCACCAAAGCGACGAUCAGUAGCCGACCUGAGAGGGUGACCGGCCACAUUGGGACUGAGACACGGCCCAAACUCCUACGGGAGGCAGCAGUA
rnacentral:rRNA from 1 species